GAUGAACGCUGGCGGCGUGCCUAAUACAUGCAAGUCGAGCGAACAGACGAGGAUCUUGCUCCUCUGACGUUAGCGGCGGACGGGUGAGUAACACGUGGAUAACCUACCUAUAAGACUGGGAUAGCUUCGGGAAACCGGAGCUAAUACCGGAUAAUAUAUUGAACCGCAUGGUUCAAUAGUGAAAGUCGGUUUUUCUGUCACUUAUAGAUGGAUCCGCGCCGCAUUAGAUAGUUGGUAAGGUAACGGCCUACCAAGGCAACGAUGCGUAGCCGACCUGAGAGGGUGAUCGGCCACACUGGAACUGAAACACGGUCCAGACUCCUACGGGAGGCAGCAGUAGGGAAUCUUCCGCAAUGGGCGAGAGCCUGACGGAGCAACGCCGCGUGAGUGAUGAAGGUCUUGGGAUCGUAAAACUCUGUUAUUAGGGAAGAGCAAAUGUGUAAGUAACUAUGCACGUCUUGACGGUACCUAAUCAGAAAGCAACGGCUAACUACGUG
rnacentral:rRNA from 1 species